rnacentral:rRNA from 1 species
UACAGAGGUCCCAAGCGUUGUUCGGAUUCACUGGGCGUAAAGGGUGCGUAGGCGGUCGGGUAAGUCUGAUGUGAAAUCUCACAGCUUAACUGUGAAACUGCAUUGGAUACUAUUCGGCUUGAGGUUUGGAGGGGGGACUGGAAUUCCUGGUGUAGCGGUGAAAUGCGCAGAUAUCAGGAGGAACACCGAUGGCGAAGGCAGGUCUCUGGGCCACUACUGACGCUGAGAAGCGAAAGCAUGGGGAGCGAACAGG